rnacentral:rRNA from 1 species
AUACGUAGGUGACAAGCGUUAUCCGGAUUUACUGGGCGUAAAGGGCGUGUAGGCGGUCUUGCAAGUCAGAAGUGAAAUUCCUGAGCUCAACUCGGGCGCUGCUUCUGAAACUGCAGGACUUGAGUGCUGGAGGGGAAAGCGGAAUUCCUAGUGGAGCGGUAAAAUGCGCAGAUAUUAGGAAGAACACCGGUGGCGAAGGCGACUUUCUGGGCCGUAACUGACGCUGAGGCGCGAAAGCGUGGGGAGCGAACAGGAUUAGAUACCCUGGUAGUCCACGCGGUAAACGAUGAAUGCUAGGUGUUGCGGGUAUCGACCCCUGCAGUGCCGGAGUAAACACAAUAAGCAUUCCGCCUGGGGAGUACGGCCGCAAGGUUGAAACUCAAAGGAAUUGACGGGG